GACGAACCGAGCGAACGUUGUUCGGAAUCACUGGGCUUAAAGGGCGCGUAGGCGGGCGAUCAAGUCAGGGGUGAAAUCCUCCAGCUCAACUGGAGAAGUGCCUCUGAUACUGGCCGUCUCGAGGGAGAUAGGGGCGUGCGGAACUUCCGGUGGAGCGGUGAAAUGCGUAGAUAUCGGAAGGAACACCGGUGGCGAAAGCGGCGCGCUGGAUCUCUUCUGACGCUGAGGCGCGAAAGCCAGGGGAGCGAACGGG
rnacentral:rRNA from 1 species